rnacentral:pre_miRNA from 1 species
UAUAUACUCCCUCCGUCUGGAAAUAUUUGUCGAAAGAAUGGAUGUAUCUAAACAUAUCUUGAUGCAUCCAUUUUUAUUCAUUUCUCCAAAAGUAUUUUGGAACGGAGGGAGUAUUUG